rnacentral:rRNA from 1 species
GACGAACGCUGGCGGCGUGCCUAAUACAUGCAAGUUGAGCGCUGAAGGUUGGUCCUUGUACCAACUGGAUGAGCAGCGAACGGGUGAGUAACGCGUGGGGAAUCUGCCUUUGAGCGGGGGACAACAUUUGGAAACGAAUGCUAAUACCGCAUAAAAACUUUAAACACAAGUUUUAAGUUUGAAAGAUGCAAUUGCAUCACUCAAAGAUGAUCCCGCGUUGUAUUAGCUAGAUGGUGAGGUAAAGGCUCACCAAGGCGAUGAGACAUAGCCGACCUGAGAGGGUGGUCGGCCACAUUUGGACUGAGACACGGCCCAAACUCCUACGGGAGGCAGCAGUAGGGAAUCUUCGGCAAUGGACGAAAGUCUGACCGAGCAACGCCGCGUGAGUGAAGAAGGGUUUCGGAUCGGAAAACUCUGUUGGUAGAGAAGAACGUUGGUGGGAGUGGAAAGCUCAUCAAGUGACGGUAACUACCCAGAAAGGGACGGCUAACUACGUG